rnacentral:rRNA from 1 species
AUUGAACGCUGGCGGCAUGCCUUACACAUGCAAGUCGAACGGCAGCACGGGAGCAAUCCUGGUGGCGAGUGGCGAACGGGUGAGUAAAGUAUCGGAACGUGCCCAGUCGUGGGGGAUAACGUAGCGAAAGUUACGCUAAUACCGCAUACGAUCUAUGGAUGAAAGCGGGGGAUCGCAAGACCUCGCGCGAUUGGAGCGGCCGAUAUCAGAUUAGGUAGUUGGUGGGGUAAAGGCUCACCAAGCCGACGAUCUGUAGCUGGUCUGAGAGGACGACCAGCCACACUGGGACUGAGAAACGGCCCAGACUCCUACGGGAGGCAGCAGUGGGGAAUUUUGGACAAUGGGCGAAAGCCUGAUCCAGCCAUGCCGCGUGCGGGAUGAAGGCCUUCGGGUUGUAAACUGCUUUUGUACGGAACGAAAAGGUUUGGCCUAAUAAGCUGAGCUCAUGACGGUACCGUAAGAAUAAGCACCGGCUGACUACGUGCCAGCCGCCGCAGUAA